rnacentral:rRNA from 1 species
CCUACGGGAAGCAGCAGUGGGGAAUAUUGGACAAUGGGGGCAACCCUGAUCCAGCCAUGCCGCGUGUGUGAAGAAGGCCCUCGGGUUGUAAAGCACUUUCAGUGAGGAAGAACGCCUGGUGGUUAAUACCCAUCAGGAAAGACAUCACUCACAGAAGAAGCACCGGCUAACUCCGUGCCAGCAGCCGCGGUAAUACGGAGGGUGCGAGCGUUAAUCGGAAUUACUGGGCGUAAAGCGCGCGUAGGUGGCUUGAUAAGCCGGUUGUGAAAGCCCCGGGCUCAACCUGGGAACGGCAUCCGGAACUGUCAAGCUAGAGUGCAGGAGAGGAAGGUAGAAUUCCCGGUGUAGCGGUGAAAUGCGUAGAGAUCGGGAGGAAUACCAGUGGCGAAGGCGGCCUUCUGGACUGACACUGACACUGAGGUGCGAAAGCGUGGGUAGCAAACAGGAUUAGAUACCCCGGUAGUC